rnacentral:rRNA from 1 species
UACGUAGGGCGCGAGCGUUGUCCGGAAUUAUUGGGCGUAAAGAGCUCGUAGGCGGCCUGUCGCGUCCGCUGUGAAAUCCCGGGGCUUAACCCCGGGCCUGCAGUGGAUACGGGCAGACUAGAGGUAUGCAGGGGAGAACGGAAUUCCUGGUGUAGCGGUGAAAUGACGCAGAUAUCAGGAGGAACACCGGUGGCGAAGGCGGUUCUCUGGGCAUUACCUGACGCUGAGGAGCGAAAGCAUGGGGAGCGAACAGG